rnacentral:rRNA from 1 species
CCUACGGGUGGCAGCAGUGAGGAAUAUUGGUCAAUGGGCGCGAGCCUGAACCAGCCAAGUCGCGUGAGGGAAGACGGUCCUAUGGAUUGUAAACCUCUUUUGUCGGGGAGCAAAAGACGCCACGCGUGGCGUUCCGAGAGUACCCGAAGAAAAAGCAUCGGCUAACUCCGUGCCAGCAGCCGCGGUAAUACGGAGGAUGCGAGCGUUAUCCGGAUUUAUUGGGGUUAAAAGGUGCGCAGGCGGAAGAUCAAGUCAGCGGUAAAAUUGAGAGGCUCAACCUCUUCGAGCCGUUGAAACUGGUGUUCUUGAGUGAGUGAGAAGUAGGCGGAAUGCGUGGUGUAGCGGUGAAAUGCAUAGAUAUCACGCAGAACUCCGAUUGCGAAGGCAGCAUACCGGCGCUCAACUGACGCUCAUGCACGAAAGUGUGGGUAUCGAACAGGAUUAGAUACCCGGGUAGUC